rnacentral:rRNA from 1 species
UGCAAGUCGAGCGGGGGAAGGUAGCUUGCUACUGGACCUAGCGGCGGACGGGUGAGUAAUACUUAGGAAUCUGCCUAUUAGUGGGGGACAACGUUCCGAAAGGAGCGCUAAUACCGCAUACGCCCUACGGGGGAAAGCAGGGGAUCUUCGGACCUUGCGCUAAUAGAUGAGCCUAAGUCGGAUUAGCUAGUUGGUGGGGUAAAGGCCUACCAAGGCGACGAUCUGUAGCGGGUUUGAGAGGAUGAUCCGCCACACUGGGACUGAGACACGGCCCAGACUCCUACGGGAGGCAGCAGUGGGGAAUAUUGGACAAUGGGCGCAAGCCUGAUCCAGCCAUGCCGCGUGUGUGAAGAAGGCCUUAUGGUUGUAAAGCACUUUAAGCGAGGAGGAGGCUUACCUGGUUAAUACCUAGGAUAAGUGGACGUUACUCGCAGAAUAAGCACCGGCUAACUCUGUGCCAGCAGCCGCGGUAAUACAGAGGGUGCAAGCGUUAAUCGGAAUUACUGGGCGUAAAGCGCGCGUAGGUGGCCAUUUAAGUCAAAUGUGAAAUCCCCGAGCUUAACUUGGGAAUUGCAUUCGAUACUGGAUGGCUAGAGUAUAGGAGAGGAAGGUAGAAUUCCAGGUGUAGCGGUGAAAUGCGUAGAGAUCUGGAGGAAUACCGAUGGCGAAGGCAGCCUUCUGGCCUAAUACUGACACUGAGGUGCG